rnacentral:rRNA from 1 species
AGUGAACGCUGGCGGUAGGCCUAACACAUGCAAGUCGAACGGCAGCACAGUAAGAGCUUGCUCUUACGGGUGGCGAGUGGCGGACGGGUGAGGAAUACAUCGGAAUCUACUUUUUCGUGGGGGAUAACGUAGGGAAACUUACGCUAAUACCGCAUACGACCUACGGGUGAAAGCAGGGGAUCUUCGGACCUUGCGCGAUUGAAUGAGCCGAUGUGGGAUUAGCUAGUUGGCGGGGUAAAGGCCCACCAAGGCGACGAUCCGUAGCUGGUCUGAGAGGAUGAUCAGCCACACUGGAGCUGAGACACGGUCCAGACGCCUACGGGAGGCAGCAGUGGGGAAUAUUGGACAAUGGGCGCAAGCCUGAUCCAGCCAUACCGCGUGGGUGAAGAAGGCCUUCGGGUUGUAAAGCCCUUUUGUUGGGAAAGAAAAGCAGCAGGUUAAUACCCCGCUGUUCUGACGGUACCCAAAGAAUAAGCACCGGCUAACUUCGUG